rnacentral:tRNA from 1 species
GGGGAUGUAGCUCAAUGAUAAAGUGCUUGCCUGGCAUGCAUGAGGCCCUAGGCUUCAUCCCCA